rnacentral:rRNA from 1 species
UACGUAGGGGGCAAGCGUUGUUCGGAAUCACUGGGCGUAAAGCGCACGUAGGCGGAUGUGUCAGUCAGGGGUGAAAUCCCGGAGCUCAACUUCGGAACUGCCUCUGAUACAGCACGUCUUGAGUCCGGAAGAGGUGGGUGGAAUUCCUAGUGUAGAGGUGAAAUUCGUAGAUAUUAGGAAGAACACCGGUGGCGAAGGCGCUCUGCUGGACCAUAACUGACGCUCAGGGACGAAAGCUAGGGGAGCGAAUGGG